rnacentral:rRNA from 1 species
GACGAACGCUGGCGGCGUGCCUAAUACAUGCAAGUCGAACGGUCUUUUCUAUGGAAGCUUGCUUCCGCUGAGAGGAUAGUGGCGAACGGGUGAGUAACACGUGGGUAACCUGCCCAUAAGAGGGGGAUAACAUCCGGAAACGGGUGCUAAUACCGCAUAGUUUUCUUGAUCGCAUGAUUGAGAAAGGAAAGACGGCCUUUGUGCUGUCGCUUAUGGAUGGACCCGCGGCGUAUUAGUUAGUUGGUGAGGUAACGGCUCACCAAGACGAUGAUACGUAGCGGACCUGAGAGGGUGAUCGGCCACAUUGGGACUGAGACACGGCCCAAACUCCUACGGGAGGCAGCAGUAGUGAAUCUUCCGCAAUGGACGAAAGUCUGACGGAGCAACGCCGCGUGAGUGAAGAAGGUUUUCGGAUCGUAAAACUCUGUUGUCAGAGAAGAACAAGUCGGAGAGUAACUGCUCCGGCCUUGACGGUAUCUGACCAGAAAGCCACGGCUAACUACGUGCCAGCCGCCGCAGUAAUAC